AUUGAACGCUGGCGGCAUGCCUUACACAUGCAAGUCGAACGGUAGCGGGCCUUCGGGUGCCGACGAGUGGCGAACGGGUGAGUAGUGUAUCGGAACGUACCAUUGAGUGGGGGAUAACGUAGCGAAAGUUACGCUAAUACCGCAUACGCCCUGAGGGGGAAAGUGGGGGACCGCAAGGCCUCACGUUAUACGAGCGGCCGAUGUCGGAUUAGCUAGUUGGUGGGGUAAAGGCCUACCAAGGCGACGAUCCGUAGCGGGUCUGAGAGGAUGAUCCGCCACACUGGGACUGAGACACGGCCCAGACUCCUACGGGAGGCAGCAGUGGGGAAUUUUGGACAAUGGGGGCAACCCUGAUCCAGCCAUGCCGCGUGAGUGAAGAAGGCCUCGGUGUAAGCUCUUCUAGGUGGAAGAAAUACGCAUCUUUAAUACUAGGUGUGGAUGACGGUACCGAUCAGAAGAAGACACCGGCUAACUACGU
rnacentral:rRNA from 1 species